GCUCUUUUAGCUCAGUGGUAGAGCGGAAGAUUGCAGUUGUGCAAUAUAUCUUCAGGUCACUUGUUCGAACCAGGUAGAGAGCU